rnacentral:rRNA from 1 species
ACGAACGCUGGCGGCAUGCCUAAUACAUGCAAGUCGAACGAGACCUUCGGGUCUAGUGGCGCACGGGUGCGUAACGCGUGGGAAUCUGCCCUUGGGUUCGGAAUAACAGUUGGAAACGACUGCUAAUACCGGAUGAUGACGUAAGUCCAAAGAUUUAUCGCCCAGGGAUGAGCCCGCGUAGGAUUAGCUAGUUGGUGGGGUAAAGGCCUACCAAGGCGACGAUCCUUAGCUGGUCUGAGAGGAUGAUCAGCCACACUGGGACUGAGACACGGCCCAGACUCCUACGGGAGGCAGCAGUAGGGAAUAUUGGACAAUGGGGGCAACCCUGAUCCAGCAAUGCCGCGUGAGUGAUGAAGGCCUUAGGGUUGUAAAGCUCUUUUACCCGAGAUGAUAAUGACAGUAUCGGGAGAAUAAGCUCCGGCUAACUCCGU